rnacentral:rRNA from 1 species
UACCGGAGGAUCCGAGCGUUAUCCGGAUUUAUUGGGUUUAAAGGGUGCGCAGGCGGGAGAUUAAGUCGGCGGUGAAAUUUUGCAGCUCAACUGUAAAAGUGCCUUCGAAACUGGUUUCCUUGAGUGUAGAUGAAGUAGGCGGAAUUUGUGGUGUAGCGGUGAAAUGCAUAGAUAUCACGAGGAACUCCGAUUGCGCAGGCAGCUUACUAAACUACUACUGACGCUCAGGCACGAAGGCGUGGGGAUCAAACAGGAUUAGAUACCCCGGUAGU